GAAUAGUAACACGCCCAUGUGAAGUUGUUCUGAUUCUGUCAUCAACUACAAACGUGUUUAAACCGAGAAGCAGGACCGUAAACACCUCCAUGCAUUUAUAACAUCUCUGCAAGCAGCGUGUAUGUGUUUGUGAAGAGUGACGGAAUAUGACGUCCAGCGCUGUUUGUUCGCAUAGAGAUCCUAUGCUGAAGAAAAGAGAUGAUUUUGAAGACAUGUUGGAGGAAAGGAGGAACUCCAGUGACCUCAGAUACGCCCUCAGAUGUUACACACCUGUGGUUUACAAAGGACUGGCUCCCUGUAAAGCCAACCAGCUGAAGAACAUGGUGCUUCAGUCUGAACAGAUACAUUAUGUCAUCAAUCAGGUUUCCAAAGAGAUGGGCAAGGCUGUCGAUGAAGUCCAGGAGGAGGUGUCGUCCAUCUUGGAGGAGAUGGCUCAGCGUCUACAGCUCAGCACCGUUCGCUUCUUCGCCUUCACUCUCAGCAAAGUCUUUAAAAAUUUAUUCAGGAGCAUCUGUGUCAACGAAGAGGGCAUCCAGAGACUCCAGCAGGCCAUUCAGGAGCACCCGGUCGUUCUGCUGCCAAGUCACCGUAGUUACAUGGACUUCCUGCUGAUGUCAUACAUCCUGUACACCUACGACCUGGCUUUGCCUGUCAUCGCUGCCGGCAUGGACUUCAUGGCGAUGAAAUUUGUCGGGGAGAUGCUUCGCAUGUCUGGAGCUUUCUUUAUCCGGCGAUCAUUUGGAGGAGACAAACUGUACUGGGCUGUUUUCUCCGAGUACGUUAAGACCAUGCUCAAGAAUGGAUAUGCACCAGUUGAAUUCUUCCUAGAGGGGACCAGAAGCCGAACAUGCAAGUCUUUGACCCCAAAGUUAGGUCUGCUGAACAUAGUGAUGGAUCCAUUCCUCAAAGGGCAGGUGUACGAUAUUAACUUGGUCCCGGUCAGUAUCAGCUAUGAGAGGAUCCUGGAGGAAUCGCUCUACGCCAGGGAGCUGCUGGGAGUGCCCAAACCCAAGGAGUCAACUUCAGGUCUGUUUAAAGCCAGAAAGGUCCUCAGUGAAGACUACGGCAGUAUCCACGUGUACUUCGGUCAGCCCGUCUCCGUCAGAAGUUUAGCUCAGGGCAGAGUUAACCGCUGUCAGUUCAACCUGAAACCAAGACACAUUCCCAGAAGGCCCAGCGAGGAUAUCCAAAGCUUUGUGAAUGACUCUGCCUACAGGUUGGUGAGGGCCCAGGAGGAGAACAUGGUCCUGAAGCCGUGGGUCCUUAUUGCUUCCCUGCUGCUCCAGAACCACCACCAGAACCAGGAGGAGGGGCAGAAAGGGGGGAUCACACUGGACGAGCUGACUGAAAGCGCUGUGUGGCUCCGGGACCUUUCCAGGCAGUACGGAGCCUUCCUCCACUGGCCCGACCACACGCCUCCAUCAGAGGUGGUUGCCUCCAGUCUCUCCCUGCAUCAAGGUCUAGUGAGGAUCUCUGAGGGAAGAGUCCAGCUGGCAUUGGAACAAGCAGGAGGACAAGCGAAGCCAGAGAAGCCUCACAGCACCGUCACUCCAGAAGAGGAUCUAUUGAGCCAGGCGGUCGUCGUGCUCUCCUGCGCCUCCUACAGGAACCAAGCGUUGCACGUCUUCCUCCGACCGGCGCUGCUGGCCUCAGCCAUCCACGCUGCCUCCUCCAACAAUAAACAGGACAUCUAUAACAGUUUCAGCUUCCUGAGAAACAUGUUCUCCAAUGAGUUCAUCCUCUGUCCUGGAGCUACCAUAGAGGAUUUUGAGGAGGCCUGUUUCCUGCUGGUGAAGACUGGAGCUCUGCAGGUCACCCAGCAGGAAGUGGUUGUAACAGAAAGAGGCCACAGAACCCUGACCUUCCUCACCAGUAUGCUAGACCCUUUUCUACAAGGAUACCAGGUGGUGUGUCGGUUCCUGUGUGAAGAGGCCACUGAAGCUCUGACCGAAAAACAGUUUGUCCCUGCAGUCAGGAAGUUCAUCAUCAAACAUCUGCUAGCAGGUUUCUCUCUUUGUCAAAUUGUUUUCUUUGUGUGUGUUUUUUUUUUAAACUCAACCUUCCACAAAAUACACUGAUUUUCUGUUGUGUGUGUGUGUGUGUGUGUGUGUGUGUUUUCAGGCAGACUAAGAUACAGUGAGGUACUAUCCUCUGACCUUCAGAAGAACUCACUGGCAGCUUUGCUGAGACUGGGCGCUGUACGGAAAAUCAAAGGAGCGGAGCAGGCGACUUUAAAGGUCAACCAGGUGAUGGUGAACUCAUUGGAAGACACUCUAGGAGGAAAACUCCCGACUCAAAAAGCUGCAGUCGCCCGACUCUAAUUCGCCAACCUUGUUUGCCAAAAAAGGAAGUGAGAAGAGUCGAAUGUUUGUACCUGCGUAUGCAAAAACAAGACGAUUUCUCAGCUCAUCUCAG